rnacentral:rRNA from 1 species
GAUGAACGCUAGCUACAGGCUUAACACGUGCAAGUCGCGGGGCAGCAUGGGGGUUGCUUGCAAUCCCCGAUGGCGACCGGCGCACGGGUGAGUAACGCGUAUCCAACCUGCCCUUCACCACGGGAUAACCCGGCGAAAGUCGGACUAAUACCGUAUGUUGUCCAUUGACGGCAUCCGAUUUGGACGAAAGGCUUGGCGGUGAGGGAGGGGGAUGCGUCCGAUUAGCCAGACGGCGGGGUAACGGCCCACCGUGGCUACGAUCGGUAGGGGUUCUGAGAGGAAGGUCCCCCACACUGGAACUGAGACACGGUCCAGACUCCUACGGGAGGCAGCAGUGAGGAAUAUUGGUCAAUGGGCGUAAGCCUGAACCAGCCAAGUAGCGUGCAGGAUGACGGCCCUAUGGGUUGUAAACUGCUUUUAUGCGGGGAUAAAGUGGCCCACGUGUGGGCUUUUGCAGGUACCGCAUGAAUAAGGACCGGCUAAUUCCGUG